AGUGAACGCUGGCGGUAGGCCUAACACAUGCAAGUCGAACGGCAGCACAGUAAGAGCUUGCUCUUACGGGUGGCGAGUGGCGGACGGGUGAGGAAUACAUCGGAAUCUACUUUUUCGUGGGGGAUAACGUAGGGAAACUUACGCUAAUACCGCAUACGACCUACGGGUGAAAGCAGGGGAUCUUCGGACCUUGCGCGAUUGAAUGAGCCGAUGUCGGAUUAGCUAGUUGGCGGGGUAAAGGCCCACCAAGGCGACGAUCCGUAGCUGGUCUGAGAGGAUGAUCAGCCACACUGGAACAAAGACCCGGUCCAGACUCCUACGGGAGGCAGCAGUGGGGAAUAUUGGAGAAUGGGCGCAAGCCUGAUCCAGCCAUACCGCGUGGGUGAAGAAGGCCUUCGGUUUGUAAAGCCCUUUUGUUGGGAAAAAAAAGCAGCAGGUUAAUACCCCGCUGUUCUGACGGUACCCAAAGAAUAAGCACGGGCUAACUUCGUG
rnacentral:rRNA from 1 species